rfam:Solenopsis invicta Si_gnG.contig25041, whole genome shotgun sequence.
GCCUCGGUGGUCGAGUUGGCAAAGACGUCUGGCCUAAUAAGCCGGAAGAUCCCAGGUUCGAUCCCUGGCUGAGGCA